rnacentral:sRNA from 1 species
UAAGAUGAUUCUGAAAACACCAUUAAUAGGGAUUAGCUUGAAAUAAGCUACUAAUUAAUUUUGCUGUACUAUAUGUUUUAUUGCAUUUGACAGAUCCAUUCGUGAUGCGAAGAAGCAGAACAAAACAGAUCUAUCCCUGCAGAUAUCCACUGAGGACAUUGCAUACUGUGACACUCCUCUAUAUGUAACAGCAACAAACUUCGAUACAGUCAAUGACAUAAUCAGCAAGUUACUGCCAAUGAUGAGAAAACAUAGCAUUGAAGAUUAUCAACUGUGGUUCUGUUCUCGCCCUGGGGAAGCUCCAAGAGUACUCCAAGGAAAUGAGUAUCCACAUGACAUUAUAAUGAUAAAUAUUCAAAAGAACUUCA